rnacentral:rRNA from 1 species
AGUGGCGACCGGGUGAGUCAUACGGGACUAACCUACCCUCGAGUGUGGAAUAACAUCGGGAAACCGAUGCUAAUACCGCAUAACAUCGCAAGAUCAAAGGAGCAAUCCGCUUGAGGAGGGGGUCGCGGCUGAUUAGCUAGUUGGCGGGGUAACGGCCCACCAAGGCGAAAAUCGGUAUCCGGCCUGAGAGGGCGCACGGACACACUGGAACUGAAACACGGUCCAGACUCCUACGGGAGGCAGCAGUGGGGAAUUUUGCGCAAUGGGGGAAACCCUGACGCAGCAACCCCCCGUGGAGGAUGAAGCCCCUUGGGGCGUAAACUCCUUUCGACCAAAAAAAAAAUGACGGUACUGGUGGGAGAAACACCGGCUAAAUCUUUGGCAGCACCCCGGGAUACAAAAGGGGGCAGAGGUGUUCGGAAAAAUAUGCGGCAAGAGGGCGAAGGGGG